ensembl:lncRNA LINC01016 long intergenic non-protein coding RNA 1016
AGGCUGCCCCUGCCAACCCCGAGGGGGGAAGACUGUGCUCUGAGGUCCUCGGGGAUGGUUGUUGCGGGCCUCGGCCUCCCUAGAUUCCUUCCCAUCUCCCCAACAGCAAUCCUCCCAGGGCCAUGGGCCAGGAACCCCUGGUGGUUCUGUAUUCUGAGGUUCUGCAGACGCAGGGUGUAGUCUCCUGCGAGUCCAUCUUGAUUUGGAAGGCUGCGGGAGGAGGUGGCCGAGACCCCUUCCCUAGACCGCGAGGCAGGACGGAGGCAGCCGUUAGGAACGGCCCCACUCCACCAGCCGGCCCCGCGGGACGGUUACUCUGUUCCUGAGGUACCCCCCGAGAUUGUCUGUGGGGUCAGAAACAGCUCUGGAGGGGUCUGCAGAAAUUACUUUCCCAAGUCUUUGGGCUGGAAGGAACGAACAGUGCCUGACCAAGGACUUUGAGCAGGAGAGAGAUGGGAGCAGAGAGGAGCCAAGGUCUACUAUUUUCACUUCUGUCAAUUAGAUCAAAGCCCUGCCCAGAAGCUUUGAGCGCCGCUGUCAAGUCCCAUUCCUCCCCUAAACCAUCCAGGUUCCAUCUGCCUUGAAGCCAAAGGAUCUUCUUAGAUUCCUCAAGAAAAAUUCAGGCCCCGAGUUUCUCCACCAGCACUCUCCUCUCCCCGAAGGAGUGGGUGGGCUGCAUUUCUCUUCAUAUUCUAUUCCAUUCCAGACCGUCUUGGACUACCAGCCUGUCCGCCACCCCUCGGGGCCCUCCCUCCUACUCUGCCCUUGCCCGCUGAGGUCCCAAGCUGAGGAGAUGAGCCGAGCAGUAAAAAGAGAGGAGGUUUGGAAAAGCAAUGUCCUCUCAGUCUUUAAUAGGUGGCCCCCCUGGGAACCUGCUGGAAGUGGAAGUUAAUAAGCUGAAGGUGGUCACAACCAAUCUCUGCCACACUCGCACCCUACCCCACCCCAAAUCAUUCCUUUUAAUUAAUAGUGGAAGACCUUUUUAAAAAUGUAACAUGAAUUGGCUAUUUCUUGAGGCAAACAAAAGGUGGCUCUGAAGCGAUAUAUUUGUACUCGUAUAAAUUCAUUAAAAUAGAAAGCUUAUAACCAUCCAGGUUUCACUGACAGCCCCAGUCCAUCUACAUGCAGAAAUGGUCCCUCCAAAGCCCUCUACGACAAUUAUUCUCACAGAUCGUCAUGAUAAACUGUAAGGGAAUAUACUAAGAAAGAGGGAAGAAGAGAGGAGGAGUCCAUUUUUAAUUAGUGGUUGGAAAUAGAGUAAAAAUUAGAGGGCCUUAGGUUUAAAACACAGAUGUGCAUUGUGAUCGUCUGAAGGAAGAGCUGUUGACAGAGAAAACAAGGUGGUGAACUAUGCCCUUGGCCUGUGACAGUUAGGUGAGGGUUGCUCACCGCAGAAGACAGACCGGUAGAGCCCAGCAGGAAAGAGGGUAUCAGGCUGGAAGAAGUGCAGUUUGGCCCUGGCGGAGUGGUGGAGUGGCUGGAGCGACUGCAGGAGGAGGAUAGAUCUGGAAGCAGGUCUGGGCUAUACUUUGGCCUCAGCCAGGGAGCCAGAGAAGGAAGGCUUGGGUUCGAGGGGGGAAAUCAUUCUCCCAAAUUGCUUUCUCAGAAGCGCCAAUUCAGAUCACCUGAAGACAGGGUCUGGGCCCCAUUACAGCAUGGUUCCCAAAUGGGAGUGUGCUUGGAAGCCUUGGUGAUUAAAGGGUGCUGACUAAAAGAGUCAAACUCUGUAAAA